rnacentral:lncRNA from 10 species
GCUCAGAGCCCCCAAUCACCUCCCAGAGUCCCUAGCUCCUAACACCAUCACCCUGGGGGUUAGGAUUUUAACACAUGAGUUAUGAAGCAAUGUAAACAUUUAGUCCAUCGUAAUGAGGAAUUGCGGAGUCAGAGGAAUAUGUGCUUGUCCUUUUGAUGGAUGUUGACAAUUGCCCUUCAAUGAGAUGGCUCCAGCAUACAUUUCCGUAAGUGGUGGGUGGGCAGUGCCUAUUUCACCCAGCUUUUCCCACAUGGUGUAUACAUAAAUUAUUUUAUUUUAUUUUUUCACAGGUCUUAAAUGUGGGAAAUAGUCUACAGUUUGGAAGACACCAGAGAAAAAUGCUCCACAGCUCGCCCUGGUGACUCACUACAACUUAUGGGAAGAUGUGAGAUUAUUCUGUAUUCUAAUGUAUGUUAGAAGGCACACUCCACCCAAAGCCUUCCUGUGUGUUCCUCCCUGUGAGCUCACAUCCCGUUCACCAGCUGACUGGGAAGGGAAGUCAGGACCAGCCCUGACCCCAUCACACCAUCAUAACCUCGGGAUGGCAGGGCUGGAAGGCACCUCAGACGUCAUCCUUUGCAGACUCUUCAUUUUACAGUGAGAGGCAUGACGUGUCCACAGCUGGUUAGUGCCAAAGCCUGGGACAGGCUUCACAUUGUCCAGCUCUUAGUCAGAGCACUGUUGACAAUGUCUGCCUUCACUUGGAAUUCAGCACCUGCUUUCAGUAUAAACCCCUGCAUUUCACUAAAACUGAGCAGACUGCUGGUUUAAAAAAGAGAGGUCCAUCCAGCAGGGAUGAUGCUUUUCCUCGUUGAAAGAGGACAUUCACCUAAUGGGAGACCUGGAGUCAGAAUCUUUCUGAUGUGUGACUUGGCACAGUAACACAAUGCAGGAUGCUGGUGUGUUAAUAAAAAUAAAAAUUGCAUCGCCUACCUCAGAGUCGACAACAAUGUCAAGGAGUUAAUGUGAGUACAUCUGAGAGUGAGACUCCAUGUCAAACAAAACAAAACAAAACAAACUUACAAAAAUAUUGGCUUAGACUUAUUCUAGAAACAGAAGUGAUAAGAUGGUAUUAAUACAUUUUACACAAAUGGUGGUUAUUUUAAUGCAGAUGCUAUACUCAAUGCUUUACACAUAUUAUCUCAUUUAAUCUCAUGAGGUAGGCUGUAAGCAUCUGGUCCAAAUUCACUCUGCUAUAAAGUGGAAGAGCCAAUAUUCAAACUCCAAACUUAAACCACUAUCACACACAAUCACAACUCAUAAAUUUUAGGAAUUGCAUGCCUGUUCCAACCAUGACACCAUUGUUCAAAACUCCACCUAAAUUCCUGUUGUCAAAUCCACAGAGUCUUGGCAACACAGAGGCCACUGGACAGAGGCAUAACCUUGCGUGGCAGCUGCACGGGAAUUGGAUUUGGCUCAGGUGUUUCAGAUGACUAAGGUGAGUGAUCAAGCUAUAUAUUUUUGGAUGACAACCAAAGUG